CACGUGGUCUGUCUAUUGGCGAGUUCGGUCCAAAAAGGGACCCGUACUUUUCUGAAGAAGUGCGAUCUAAAUUCCGGGUGAUCGGUCAAGCCGACUCCACUGCUCCGUCUGGUGGUCGUGCUCGCAGCCGACGUCCGGCCCCACAACAAUAUCUCUCUCUUCAUGAACACAAUGUUUCAGCCGCACAGGUCGAGAUUCUUAAUCAAUGGUUGAUUGUUAAUGAACGAUUCAACGACAUUACCCCCAAAAAUGUACUUUCAGAGGAACUCAAAUACGAUGCGAGGAAUAACGGCAUGAGGAAGAGCGACAGAAGGAUGAUGAGCGAGGAGGAAGAACUACAAAACGACAUCGAGAGCUACCAACAAGCUCACGAGAUCAUAAUCGGACUCGCAGCCACUACCGACCCUGAGGCCCCCAGACCAUGGAUAACUCCAUUGCCCUACUGGUUGUUAAGCAACCAUGGAUGCUGGCAAAAGCAAUUGUACUGAGCGGGGUCAUCCCGUCCACAGCCGUGUUACCUACUCGUUGGUGCAACUACCUGAGUUUGAGUGUAUGUUGACAAAAUAUGGAGUGAUAAUCAUCAGGAGCGGAGUCAACAUGAGCGGGAGUGAGCAUGUCAAAGAAGUUCCAGCUAGUGCAUUCUUCCAUGAACCGUGCCUCUGUUGGCCUAUCCAACACAAACUGGGAACUGUGUGCCAUAUCCCAAGAGGACACAGCAGAGUCCCUUGUUUGCCCAGAAAAUACGAAACGCCCAAACACAGGGAGUGGGUACAAGACACUGGCUGGGAAUCUAUCCCCCCCCCCCCCCCCCCCCCCCCCCCCCCCCCCCCCCCCCCCCCCCCCCCCCAUGAAGGAGAGGGCAUCGAGGCCGCACUGGUUGCUCACAAAGCUGUCUAUCAUAAACGAUGCAUGCUUCGUUUUAAUACAACAGAGUUGCAAAGAGCACAGAAGAGGCCAGCAGGAGGCAGCUCAUCUGGUGAAGGCAAUGCCAUGCCAGGAAAGAGUACCAGGUCACUCAGUGCAGAAUCAAGUACCUCUAGUCAACCCUCAUGCUUCUUCUGCAGACAGUCUGGUGUGGACACCUUACAUGAAGCCACCACGGUAUGAGCAUUCGUGGGGCAGGGGAAGAAAUCUGCCUGGGCCACAUGGAACUCGUUUCCAGAACUGACAGAUUCUCUUGUGACCCUGACCACCACGCCAGUCAACACCCCCCCCCCCCCCCCC
rnacentral:lncRNA from 1 species